rnacentral:misc_RNA from 1 species
UCAAACUUGGUCAUUUAGAGGAAGUAAAAGUCGUAACAAGGUUUCCGUAGGUGAACCUGCGGAAGGAUCAUUGUUGAAUAGUUCGUGGUGCUGUGCUGGCCUUUCGGGGCAUGUGUACGCAUUGCAAUUAUUUCAUUAUCUUCUUGUGAACUAGUGUAGGCUUUGGGACCCUUGUGCGAUUCAUCGUGCAUAGGAACCGAGUCUAUGAUUUAUCUAAACCUUUGUAUGUUUAUGAAUGUCUCUUUAUUGGCCGCAAGGCUAGUAAAAUCUAUACAACUUUCAGCAACGGAUCUCUUGGCUCUCCCAUCGAUGAAGAACGCAGC